CUUUGAAUCACUGAAUGACUAAAGUGUAAUCCCUCCACUUGGAUCCACACACUUUUAAAGGUUUACAUCUCUGAGCUUUGAAAGACAUGCUGUUGGAAAGAGAACAACGAUGGCUUCGUUUUGAGGGUAAAAUGAUGGCUGUAGAGCAAACACUGUGGACACAGCAGCAGUUGAAAGAGAAGUGUUUAAGAUGAAUAUUGGCAGAGUGAGAGAGAGCUCGUUAGGCAGGCAGGCAGGUGUGAGCCUGGUUGCUAUAGUGACUGCACCCACUGGCUCCAUACACACGCGCACAGACAUGCACCUCACUUUUGCUGCUUAAAAUGAACAGAAAAGUCAGGUCGAAACAAAUCGCUCCCAAAUGAAAAGUACAGGUCCUAUUGACAAAAUUCUUUCACCGUGAGCGACAGCAAUGUCCAGUCUACCUAAUUCUCAGUUUUCAUGCUUGUGGAGUUUAUUAUAUGGACGUGGUGACAGUGUAAAGACAGCCUGUAC
ensembl:lncRNA